GGAUGAGCCCGCGGCCUAUCAGCUUGUUGGUGGGGUAAUGGCCUACCAAGGCGGCGACGGGUAGCCGGCCUGAGAGGGUGUACGGCCACAUUGGGACUGAGAUACGGCCCAGACUCCUACGGGAGGCAGCAGUGGGGAAUAUUGCACAAUGGGCGCAAGCCUGAUGCAGCGACGCCGCGUGGGGGAUGAAGGCCUUCGGGUUGUAAACUCCUUUCGCUAGGGACGAAGCUUUGUUGUGACGGUACCUAGAUAAGAAGCACCGGCUAACUACGUGCCAGCAGCCGCGGUAAUACGUAGGGUGCGAGCGUUGUCCGGAAUUACUGGGCGUAAAGGGCUCGUAGGUGGUUUGUCGCGUCGUCUGUGAAAUUCUGGGGCUUAACUCCGGGCGUGCAGGCGAUACGGGCACAACUUGAGUGCUGUAGGGGUAACUGGAAUUCCUGGUGUAGCGGUGAAAUGCGCAGAUAU
rnacentral:rRNA from 1 species